rnacentral:rRNA from 1 species
UACAGAGGGGGCAAGCGUUAUUCGGAAUUAUUGGGCGUAAAGGGCGCGUAGGCGGCCUGACAAGUUGAAGGUGAAAUCCCUCGGCUUAACCGAGGAACUGCCCUCCAAACUGUCUGGCUUGAGACCGGGAGAGGUGAGUGGAAUUCCCAGUGUAGCGGUGAAAUGCGUAGAUAUUGGGAGGAACACCAGUGGCGAAGGCGGCUCACUGGACCGGUACUGACGCUGAGGCACGAAAGCCAGGGGAGCGAACGGG